GCCGGAAUAGCUCGGUUGGGAAUGCGUUAGACUGAAAUUGUUUACGCAACAGUCAUCUAAAGGCCCCCGGUUCAAUCCCGGGUUCCGGCA
rnacentral:tRNA from 1 species